GGUAGUAACAGCCUACAGGAGGCAGCAGUGGGGAAUUUUGGACAAUGAAACCUGAUCCAGCCAUCCCGCGUGCGAUGAAGGCCUUCGGGUUGUGACGCACGCUUGGGAAAGAAACGGCACAGGAUAAUACGUGCAAUGACGGUACCUGCAGAAUAAGCACCGGCUAACUACGUGCCAGCAGCCGCGGUAAUACGUAGGGUGCACAAGCGUUAAUCGGAAUUACUGGGCGUAAAGCGUGCAGGCGGUUCGGAAAGAAAGAUGAAAUCCCAGAGCUUAACUUUGGAACUGCAUUUUUAACUACCGAGCUAGAGUGCGUCAGAAGGAGAGUGCGAUUUCCCGUCUUAACAGUGGUAAGUAGAUAUGCGGAGGAACACACAAAUGGCAGAAAGCAGCCCUCCUGGGAUAACACUGACGCUCAUGCACGAAAGCGUGGGAGCAAACAAGUUAAGGUACCCGGUAGU
rnacentral:misc_RNA from 1 species